AAGACACAAGUUAAAGAAGAUCAUUCAUGUCAGCGUUGACCGUAGAUGCUACUGGGUUCCAAAGGUUAAUUUCAUGGUUAAUUUCAUAAACUAAGUUUAAAAACAAAAUUUAGUCUAUAAUAUCAUGAUAACAUUUUUCAUACAAACAAAAGAAACUGACAUUUUUAUUUUCAAACGUUAUAAAAAAAAAAAAUUAAACCAAACAAACCAUAAGGGUGUCUGAAUUUUAGGUUGAUUUAAGUUUUCGGAAAAAUGAAAACUAACCCUAAACAUUAUCGUUUAUCGUGAAGUUGUGGUAAGAAGGAAAAUGUAGGGACAGAAGGGGUCUCAAUGAUUUCGGGAGGGUCAAGAGGUUUGAAGACAAGAAAAUAUCUUCGGCAACAAAUGUCGGAACUUUAGAUCCACAAAUAAUAUCAAAUGCACAGCAGCCAUUGUUGUCGUUGAGAAUUAAAAUUUUGGUAUAUAAAAAGUGAAAUUGGUUUAUCAAUUACCUAGCUAUAUAGUUUAUAAUUUUUAUAUAAGUUGGUUUACUAAUCUUCACCUUCUAGCUAUUUCAAUUUAGGAUACAUGUCAACUUUUAAUUAGUCCUAAAUUAAAUUAUUUGUAUUUUCAUUAUUAGUUUGAUAAAGCAAUUUGUGAUUGAUCCAAGAUUUUUUGCUCAACACACUUUUUCAAAUAUAGUAAAAUGAAUCAAAAUAUUUAUAAAAUAUAGCAAAAUUUUAGCUUCUAUCAAUAAUACACACAAUGAUAACCACUAAUAGAUUUUUAUCAAUGUUUAUGUGAGAGCUUGAUCGUCUCCUAAGCUAUGCGAUAAGACACUAUGUGGUAAGAGUGGAAGUGUUUCUCGCAACUUGAUGCAAUGAGACGUUUUAAUCAAGUGUUUAGAAAGUUCCUAUGCGUUUUGGUAAGAGGUGGCCUAAGAUUCCUUAUCAAAAAGUAGUUGACGUCAUUUCUUAUAUAUGUAGGACGGUGCUUAGUUCUAACCCAACCGCUCACUUAUGAUCAGAAUUUGAACGAUGAGAGCUACGUGGUAAAAUGCGAUUUGUUGAAAACUCAUCGUCAGAUAGAAGUAAUCGUUCCAAUGUGAAAAUUCUCACCGAAGAAGUAUAUAAAUAGGGAGUUCUGGGUAAGUUUUCAAGCUUAAUCUAUACUCUAGCUAAGUAAAGGCUUGAAAAUUUAUAAGGCGUUAAGAAGACUUUUCAGAGCUAUCACAUGUUCAAGGUUGACAAGGACUUUUGCUAAGUGCUUAGACCAAAAGGGAACCUCAUCUCGACUGUAUUAGAAGACCGUGUUAUACGUAUAUGGUAUUAAUGAUUCACUAAAUGCGUUGAGAUUACUCUACACAACCAUAAUUCGGCAAUGAGAGCAUAUGAAUGUCAUCUCAGUUGAGGUGAUGAGUACAAUUGUAAUUCAUUGUGAUUUUAUGUUUUACUAUUUAUGUUGAAUGGUUUACGUGAAGAAAAGAUGAACUUUCAAAGACUUUGUGAACUAAGCGAUAUG